AACAUGGCUUUUUGAUUUUGAUUUAAAGUCCGGCCUGCCCAAUGAAAUAUUUAAUGGCUGCAGUAUUUUGACUGUACAAAGGUAGCAUAAUCAUUAGUUUUUUAAUUAAAAGCUUGUAUGAAUGGUUUAAUGAGAAAGAUUCUGUCUUUAUUUAAAUUUUUAUAGAAAUUUAUUUUUAAGUUAAAAAGCUUAAAUUUAUUUAAAAGACGAGAAGACCCUAUAGAGUUUUAUAAAUUUAUUAUUAAGUAAUUUUUAAGUAUAGAAUUUUAUUUUAUUAAAAAAUUUAUUUAGUUGGGGUGAUUUAGAAAUUUAAUAAACUUUUUAAUUUUUUUACAUAUAUAAAUGAUUACUUGAUCCAUUGUGUUUUGAUUAAAAGAUUAAAUUACCUUAGGGAUAACAGCGUAAUUUUUUUGGAGAGUUCUUAUCGAUAAAAAAGAUUGCGACCUCGAUGUUGGAUUAAAAUUUACUAUUGGCGCAGCAGUUAAUAGGUUAGGUCUGUUCGACCUUUAAAAUUUUACAUGAUCUGAGUUUAAACCGGUGUGAGCCAGG
rnacentral:rRNA from 1 species